rnacentral:rRNA from 1 species
UAGGUCGACCCGCUGAAUUUAAGCAUAUCACUAAGCGGAGGAAAAGAAACUAACCAGGAUUCCCCUAGUAACGGCGAGUGAAGAGGGAAAAGCCCAGCACCGAAGCCUGUGGCAAUUUUGCUGCUAGGCAAUGUGGUGUUUAGGUCGGCUCGUGGGAUCGCCACUCCACUCGAAGUCCAGCAUUGAGUAUGGUUCCCAGGAAUUGGCCCAUAGAGGGUGAAAGGCCCGUACGAGUGGAUGUGUCAGAUAUGUAAGGCGAUUCAUCAGGCCGGCCUUAGAGUCGGGUUGUUUGCGAAUGCAGCCCAAAGUGGGUGGUAAACUCCAUCCAAGGCUAAAUACUAGCACGAGUCCGAUAGCGAACAAGUACCGUGAGGGAAAGUUGAAAAGUACUUUGAAGAGAGAGUAAACAGUACGUGAAACCGCAUAGAGGUAAACGGGUGGCGUCAAGCUGCAAGCCCAGAGAAUUCAGUCGGUCAGGGUGUUGUCAUGCGCCCAGCGCAUCUAUCAGUCGGUGUAGGAUUUGGCUAGUCCGCUGGAAAAUGGCGGGCCCAGCUAGCAAUAGCUGGGAUUUGCGUACCGGGCGGUAGCCGGAGCAUGCUAGCCGUCUGUUGGACUGCCUGGCCGAUGCACUUUCUCUGUUGGUGAACACCACGACCGGUGGUACUGCCAGUCUGCUGUAGCCAGCUUCGUUGCAUACUCUGGCCUCAUUGGUUGGGGUGUGUGGCGAUCACAGACAAUUUCAGUGCACGGUGCUCGUGUGUUUUUCGCAUAUGGGCAUGUUAUCGGGAACUGGUUGUAAACGGGUCGGCCUGUCGACUUGUCUGUAGUCGUGGUUGAUGGGUGACCCGGUGGGCUAUGGUGGUAUGAAUAACUGUGCAGGGCACCGGAGUUUUCGGUCCGACCAGCAGUAAUCGUUCGCGGUUGCUGUUGCUGGCUGCACACGCGCUACAGUUYAGCGUGUGCAUUGUUUGCCUUCGGGUGGACAGUAGUACGGGUGGCGCUGUUUACGGCCUGCCAGUCGUCGGGUCUGAUUGUCGUGUCGCCUGCCAAAAUGGUGGGUCCGGCAGUGGCCUGGUGUUGGAUGGUGCCUGUGGACGGAGCUGUCAUUGUGCAGCCGGUGUUUGUGUGCGCGACCUUAUAGUCUGUGGUGUAGUGGUAGACGAGCUACCCGACCCGUCUUGAAACACGGACCAAGGAGUUUAACAUGCGCGCGAGUCAUUGGGUCGUACGAAACCCAGAGGCGCAGUGAAAGUGAAGCCUCGACAUUUUGUUCUCGGGGUGUGGUGAGAUCCUGCUGUUUCUCGCAUACAUUUGUCCAGCACUGGGCUAACUAAAACGAGCAGUGGGCGCAUCACCGGCCCGUCCCAUGAUGUGGCUAUCUGUCAGUGGCAGCUGUCGCCUCACGGUGGUGGUUGCUGUUCUGCGGGUACGUCAUCGGGGCGGAGCAUGAGCGCGCAUGUUGAGACCCGAAAGAUGGUGAACUAUGCUUGCGUAGGUUGAAGCCAGAGGAAACUCUGGUGGAGGACCGCAGCGAUUCUGACGUGCAAAUCGAUCGUCAAACGUGAGUAUAGGGGCGAAAGACUAAUCGAACCAUCUAGUAGCUGGUUCCCUCCGAAGUUUCCCUCAGGAUAGC